rnacentral:lncRNA from 1 species
AGAUCUAAAUGUGAUCUCUCUUACUUGACCAUCAUAUUCACCUGCAGCAUGCCACUGUCCCAUCUGGAUAGAGCAUGAGAUAGUAAGCAAAUAUUUCAAUAUCAACCAACCAACCAACAUUUGGAAUCCAGAAAUAAAAUCUUCUUCUUAGAUAGAAAAGCACACGGAACUGGAAAGAUAAGUGAUCCAUAUGGAUAAUCAUCAGAAACAAAACUGCUUGCCAGGAUCCUAUCAACCCCCAACCCCAAACAGAAGUGCUAUUCGAAUGGACAAAAGCAGGCCUUUUGAGGCAAUAUCGCCCAUUCAAGUAGAAAUUGAGCUAGUAUAAUUGUCUCGACUUCACAAGUAGUGCAUACAGCGUCACAGGAUAAUUAGGAACAAACAGAAGCAAUACUCGGUGCUAACCAAACAGGGUUCCAAGUGCUAUGUCAGAAAAUACAUAACGUCGUUUCCUCCAUAUGUUGGUUUUUGAGGUACCCUUUGUCCUGUACGUCAUGGAGAGCACUACCAGCUCAGCAUUAGUAAUAAUACCUCUUAUAAGCCUUAACUCUAGAGUGUGUAAAUCCUAACUGCAAACAAUAUAAAAGAAAAAAGGGAAUUAUCCUUUCCAAACAAUCAGAAACCAGAAUUUAAUAAAUCUUCUUUUCUCUAAUUUAAUGUAUGUUUUAAUUUUCCUUGUCAUUCCACUGGCUGGAACGCCCAAAUCAACUGGACAACAUACAAAUUUCAAUCUCUAAUUCAGGUACUUAUAAGUACCUAGAACAGACGAGCCAGCACCAUGUUUAGGCAGGAUUAAAGACAGGAUAUGUUUAAGGUACUUUUUCAUCCUUUAAAGAUUUAGCUCGUAAUCAUUUUUAACGUAUCAACAUGAAUAUUCCUUAAAUUAUAUAUAAAUGCAUUACCAUGAGAAGCUCUUUUGUUCUUUUUCUU